CCGGCCACAYUGGGACUGAGANACGGCCCAGACUCCUACGGGAGGCAGCAGUGGGGAAUAUUGCACAAUGGGCGAAAGCCUGAUGCAGCGACGCCGCGUGAGGGAUGACGGCCUUCGGGUUGUAAACCUCUUUCAGCAGGGACGAAGCGCAAGUGACGGUACCUGCAGAAGAAGCACCGGCUAACUACGUGCCAGCAGCCGCGGUAAUACGUAGGGUGCAAGCGUUGUCCGGAAUUACUGGGCGUAAAGAGNUCGUAGGCGGUUUGUCGCGUCGUUUGUGAAAACCAGCAGCUCAACUGCUGGCUUGCAGGCGAUACGGGCANACUUGAGUACUGCAGGGGAGACU
rnacentral:rRNA from 1 species